rnacentral:rRNA from 1 species
GAUGAACGCUGGCGGCGUGCCUAAUACAUGCAAGUCGAGCGAACGGACGAGAAGCUUGCUUCUCUGAUGUUAGCGGCGGACGGGUGAGUAACACGUGGAUAACCUACCUAUAAGACUGGGAUAACUUCGGGAAACCGGAGCUAAUACCGUAUAAUAUUUUGAACCGCAUGGUUCAAAAGUGAAAGACGGUCUUGCUGUCACUUAUAGCUGGAUCCGCGCUGCAUUAGCUAGUUGGUAAGGUAACGGCUUACCAAGGCAACGAUGCAUAGCCGACCUGAGAGGGUGAUCGGCCACACUGGAAAGGAGACACGGUCCAGACUCCUACGGGAGGCAGCAGUAGGGAAUCUUCCGCAAUGGGCGAAAGCAUGACGGAGAAACGCCGCGUGAGUGAUGAAGGUCUUCGGAUCGUAAAACUCGGUUAUUAGGGAAGAACAUAUGUGUAAGUAACUGUGUACAUCUUGACGGUACCUAAUCAGAAAGCCACGGCUAAAUACGUG